GCGUUAGGCGGAAUCACUGGGCUUAAAGCGUGUGUAGGCGGAUUUGUAAGUACCUUGUGAAAUCCCACAGCUCAACUGUGGAACUGCUGGGUAUACUGCUUAUCUUGAGCCACUUAGGGGCUGUUGGAACAAACGGUGGAGCGGUGAAAUGCGUAGAUAUCGUUUGGAACGCCAAAGGUGAAAACAGACAGCUGGGAGUGUGCUGACGCUGAGACACGAAAGCCAG
rnacentral:rRNA from 1 species